rnacentral:rRNA from 1 species
CCCUUAGAUGUUCUGGGCCCCACGCGCGCUACACUGAUGCAUUCAACGAGCCUAUCCUUGACCGACAGGUCCGGGUAAUCUUUGAAUCUGCAUCGUGACGGGGAUAGAUUAUUGCAAUUAUUAAUCUUCAACGAGGAAUGCCUAGUAGGCGCAAGUCAUCAGCUUGCGUCGAUUACGUCCCUGCCCUUUGUACACACCGCCCGUCGCUCCUACCGAUUGGGUGUGCUGGUGAAAUGUUCGGAUCGGCCGUUUGUCGCGGUUUCCGCGGCUCGUGGCUGAGAAGUUCAUUAAACCCUCCCACCUAGAGGAAGGAGAAGUCGUAACA